CCCGGCACCUCAGACAGCGCGGCCGCGGGGGCGAGCGCCUCCAGGUGUGGCCCCCGCCGGCCCCGGGCGGGCAGGCAGGCAGGCGGGGUGGGACGCGACGCCCGAGACUUCCCGCCCAGGACCCCUGGAGCCCGGUGUCUGGUCUGGAAGAAGUGGUUACCAGAACCCUGAGAGAAAGGAGGGCUGUCUGGCAGGACAGCUUUGGUGGAGGAACCCAGCUACUACCAGCCUUGAGGAGAGGAAGGAUGGCAAACUUUUAGUGGAUCCUGAUGAUGUGGUUAUGGAAUGUGAUUGGGGUCCAGAGCCAACCGCCAAGAAAGAAUUCUUGAGAUGUCUCAUGUUCGGUGAAAAAAAAAAAAAAAAAGUGGUUUUAUUAAAACCCAGGGACAGGACCCAAAGGCAGAAAGAACUACUGCACCAAGGUUGUGAGGAGUGGCUGAUUACAAACUUGGGAGUUGGGGGAGGCACCUGCAAUGUUACAACUGGGGAUAACUACCUCCUCCAAAAGAACUAAAUGGGUCCCUGGACUCCCUUCAAGUGUUAAUUUACCUAACGGAAUACAGAAAUCCACUAGUGCUGGAAAUACGAGUUUCCUCAGGAAAGUUCCUGCUUUCUAGAUAUCCUCUUGAUGUAGAGAAGAAUAAGACAGUGUGCAUAGAGGGAAGGUGGAGUCCAGAAUCACCAAACAAGGCUGGUGAGGGUACUCGUCCGAAGUCCCACUUUCUUCAGGGCUGAAUUCAUUGGAUUGUUCAAGUUGUGCAGAACAUACUCAAAAAUUUUCCUCAAGGAAGGGCACAUUUUUCUAGUUUUCCCAAAGGAAUACAGGUUAGCAGUGGCCCUAUCUGAAUCAGAUCAGAAUCAAAGAGUUACUAAAGUACAUGGAAAUCACACACUGCAUUAAGACAUCCCAGGGCAAAAGCUACUGUUUGCCUUAUAUUGGGCCCUUUAGUAAGUUGCAUUUACUCUUCUUAAGUUCUUAUUUGGUUCCCUUAAGCAAUGAUUUGCAAAUUCCUAUUCCCAAUAUCCUAAAGUGAUUUAAUAUAGCAGCUUAAAUGUUUUCACUCACUCCUAGGCCACAGUUAAUAUAUUGGGGGGAAAUGGCCCAAUUACUAAAUGAGGAAGGGCAAAAAGAGAUCAUUAGGCUUGGUAGAGCAGCAUUAACUUAUUCAAACUAUACAGUCUCUUUCUGUUUCUAUGUUUGCACAUCUAUUUCCUAACCUUGUUCCUCAGUCAAAAUUUCCUAAUGCCUAAUAACUGGAUACAUUAACUGAGCAAGCCCUACAUAUGAAGUAGAAAUCACUUUAAAAUUAUAUCAUGUCUUAGUUAUAAUAACUUGAGAAAACCUUUCCUUCCCAAUUGUAUCUCCAUUUAACAAAUGGUACUUUAUGUGGAUAUAUUAGAAAACAGAAAUAAACUGCUGUUUUCUCUUAAUCAAAAUUUUAUAUCAGCAUGACAAAGUCCCAGUCCUUCUCUAAAAACACAUUAACUAAGUAAGAUAAAACAUAGCUCCUGGGAAAUUGUGUUUUCUAGCUAAUGCUGCUGAAGAAACAAUUAGAAGCUCAAUAAGACACAGGCUAUCCAGAAGUCUUUACUUAUACUUAAUUAAUUUACCAGUAAGCCAUUUGUAAAGCUUCUAUAACAUGCAAGGUAAGAAUCCAGGCACUGUGUUUGGUGUGGGAAGAUAAAAGGAUUUAAUCCCUGCCUGCAGAGUUUAUAGCCUGUUAGGGAGAGUCUUGGGCUAGUUUAUGGAGGUAAUAAAAGGACCCAAGGGAAAAAAAAAUAUGAAAACUGACCCUAAGACUGCCAAAGGAAGAACUAAAGACAACAGUCUAAACCAUCCUAUAAUAUAAACCUGGGCAAAAAGAGUGAGGAUCAAACAUGCAAUGUUAAAAGCCUGCUUAGAAUCCUGUUGCAAGUAGUAAUCUCUUUUCCCAAGAAAUAUUAAUGGGAGAGUUAAGCAUCUGAAUACUAUAUUCUGUAUAUGUUUAAACAUAUAAACACAUACAGUUGGAUGUCUGUGUGUGUGUAUCUGUGUAUAUAUGUGUGUGUGUGUGUGUGUGUGUGUGUAUAAAAUUGGAUGUGGCUAGUCUUAUGGUUACAGGAUUAGAAUAAGGGAAGGCUUCACAUAUCAGCAGGGGAGGGUAAAUAAAGCCCUUUGCAGUCUCUGAGCUGUUGGAUAACCUACAUAGUGCUGUGAAGCUGUCACUCUAGGUUAAAUGCAAUACAAAAUUUGAUACAACCUCAAAAUAUUUUCACCUCUUAACACUGAAGAUUCCAGGUAGGCCAUGACUACCAGUAGGGGAAGUAAUAGAUCUGACACUAACAGAAGGAGACUAGCCCAUUAAUAAGUAUUUUUUUAACUUAAAUUCAAUUAACAUAUAAUGUAUUAUUAGUUUCAGAGGUAGAUUCAGUGAU